rnacentral:lncRNA from 1 species
GGCCGCGGGAGCUGGAAGGCUGGCGGAAGCUGUGUCACAGCGCGCCCCUGCGCCCACCACCCAGACAAGAGAGAUCUAAGUCAGGCGUUGGGCAGGAGAUGGAGCUGAGGCCUACCCCAGGCCAGGCCUGGACGUGACAUGCCCACGUGGCGUUGAGGAAAAACCAGUGUUUCCCACCGACUGGAACACAAGGAGGCGAAGGCAGGAGAAUCCAGGCGACCCUGGGGCUUUUCUGCUGGGGCACUGUUCCCCCUGUGGCAGGGCCAUCCACAGAGGGGCUGGCGGAAGUGGGAGGACGAGUGCAUUCCACAGAGAUGGGAUUUGAACCUGGGCAUUCUGGCACGGGCCACGCUCUGGACCACUGGGCCCCAGAUCCACAGCUUCUCACCUGCAGCCGCUGAGGAUGUGGAGGCAGACCAGGCAGGCCCGUGGGAAGGACCACCAAAAAGCGA